rnacentral:rRNA from 1 species
GAUGAACGCUGGCGGCGUGCCUAAUACAUGCAAGUCGAGCGAACAGACGAGGAGCUUGCUCCUCUCACGUUAGCGGCGGACGGGUGAGUAACACGUGGAUCACCUACCUAUAAGACUGGGAUAACUUCGGGAAACCGGAGCUAAUACCGGAUAAUAUAUUGAACCGCAUGGUUCAAUAGUGAAAGACGGUUUUGCUGUCACUUAUAGAUGGAUCCGCGCCGCAUUAGCUAGUUGGUAAGGUAACGGCUUACCAAGGCGACGAUGCGUAGCCGACCUGAGAGGGUGAUCGGCCACACUGGAACUGAGACACGGUCCAGACUCCUACGGGAGGCAGCAGUAGGGAAUCUUCCGCAAUGGGCGAAAGCCUGACGGAGCAACGCCGCGUGAGUGAUGAAGGUCUUCGGAUCGUAAAACUCUGUUAUUAGGGAAGAACAAAUGUGUAAGUAACUAUGCACGUCUUGACGGUACCUAAUCAGAAAGCCACGGCUAACUACGUG